GCAACGUGGGUGUCCCGGGAGGUCACCGUCCCCGAGCGCUGUCCAGAUGGCAGAGGGGAGCACAGGGGCUCAGCCCGUGAUGUGUAGCCCUUUCCCAUGAUGUUAAAGAUGAAGCGGGGUCUAGGGUCUCCACUUGCAUAUUCCGAUGGCUUCUCCAAGCCCUGGGGACAAUGGCUGAGGGGACAAACCAUUAAGGAAACAUCU
ensembl:snoRNA SNORA73 Small nucleolar RNA SNORA73 family